rnacentral:rRNA from 1 species
GACGUAGGGCGCGAGCGUUGUCCGGAUUUAUUGGGCGUAAAGAGCUCGUAGGCGGCUUGUCGCGUCGAAUGUGAAAACCUGCAGCUCAACUGCAGGCUUGCAUUCGAUACGGGCAGGCUCGAGUUCGGUAGGGGAGACUGGAAUUCCUGUUGUAGCGGUGAAAUGCGCAGAUAUCAGGAGGAACACCGGUGGCGAAGGCGGGUCUCUGGGCCGAUACUGACACUGAGAGACGAAAGCUAGGGGAGCAAAUGGG